ACUUGUUUGUACAGAGGACAUUAUCAUCUACCUUUCAAGAAAAGAGUGCAAGAUUUAGAGCAAUGAGGGAAAAACAAGACCACAUUCACACAAUGAGUCGGAGGGGCUAUGCUCGUUUGACUCACAUUAUGGAAAAGACAAGUCCGAUGGAUACAAAAAUUACGAGAUCGCAAGUUUGGAUUGAAGGU